rnacentral:rRNA from 1 species
AUUGAACGCUGGCGGCAGGCCUAACACAUGCAAGUCGAGCGAGCGGCGGACGGGUGAGUAAUGUAUGGGGACUGCCCGAUAGAGGGGGGUAACUACUGGAAACGGUAGCUAAUACCGCAUACUAUCGGAUAACCCAUAUGGGAGUAGCUAGUAGGGGAGGUAAUGGCUCACCAGGGGGACGAGCCCUCGCUGGUCUGUGAGGAUGACCAGCCACACUGGAACUGAGACACGGCCCAGACUCCUACGGAGGCAGCAGUGGGGAAUAUUGCACAAUGGGCGCAAGCCUGAUGCAGCCAUGCCGCGUGUAUGAAGAAGGCCUUAGGGUUGUAAAGUACUUUCAGUGAGGAGGCGUUACCGACAGAAGAAGCACCGGCUAACUCCGUGCCAGCAGCCGCGGUAAUAC